UUGGCUCAGGAUGAACGCUGGCGGCGCGCCUAACACAUGCAAGUCGAACGGUUAAAGCACCUUCGGGUGUGUAUAAAGUGGCGAACGGCUGAGUAACACGUGGGCAACCUGCCCCUCGCACCGGGAUAGCCUCGGGAAACCGUGGUUAAUACCGGAUACUCCGGGACCCCCGCAUGGGGGUGCCGGGAAAGCCCUGACGGCGAGGGAUGGGCCCGCGGCCUGUUAGCUUGUUGGCGGGGUAACGGCCCACCAAGGCGAUUAUGGGUAGCCGGGUUGAGAGACCGACCGGCCAGAUUGGGACUGAGACACGGCCCAGACUCCUACGGGAGGCAGCAGUGGGGAAUA
rnacentral:rRNA from 1 species